CGUAAAAUUUUCUAAUAUAAAUAUUUCUCUAUUUUUCUUUCUUUAUGAAAAAACAAAAGUUACCUCUAUUUCUGGUUAAGCGUGACGAGUCGGGGUGUUGAGCCUUCGACGUUUAAACUUUUAUUCUAGGGAUACAAAUCUAGACAAAGACUGAAAGAAGACUCUUGGGUCCAGAGCGGAAGGAAGAAUUGCUCUGAUACCAAUGUCACGACCGCACUUUCUAAGGAUAGAAAGCCCGGUUGAUCGCGACCAGGGGAGGAUGAAAGAAACGGGGAAGAAAGGGGAAGACUGUGGCACAACUGAACUUGAACUGAAUAACUCAAAUAAUAUAUCAGAGUUCAUGAUACAAGAGAAUAAAAUCUCGACUUUUACAUUGCAGCGGAAGAGUCAAGAGCAGAUGACAUCGUGUAUGGAGACACGACGCAUCCAAGUACUAUUCUAUCGAAGGAUAUUCAUCGCAUGUGCUCAACACCGCCCGCCGUCAUCACUGCUCAACCUACACAUUUUUAAAACAUAUGCAGGGCUGAGUACUUGGUGUACUCAGUGGACACAUGCCGAAAUAUUUUACUGAAAAGAAACUAGUUUUGUCAAGCCAUUACUGAGUGAGCUCGGGGUUUUAUCUUAAAAGGCCCGAGGACACUAAAAGCAUUUUCUAUGUAAAAAUUUGUGAUCGUAGUCUAUUUUUCCUGGAAUUAAUGUCAUAUCUGAAAUUGCGUGAACUGUGUAUGUAUGGGCUCAUUCCACUUACAGACCUGAAUUCGCUUAAACUGGACUGGUCUAGAGGGACGUCGUCCUUGCUAGGCAAAGUUCAAAACAAAACUUGACAAGAUAAAACAUAUUGAUAACUUAAAUAACUGAAAACAUUUAUACUGAGAAUGUAAAUAACUGGAAGCAUUCAUACUGCAAAACAUACUGUGAACAUAAAUUAACUGAAAGUAUAUCAUAUAAAGCCCACGUAAUAUCAUUUCACAAUAGCACCUUUCAUAAAACUGCACUUUAAACAUAAAUGCAACAAUCGUAUUUUAAAUAGAAAGCCCACGUAACAUCUCAUCAUAAAUAGAAAGCUUACUAAAAUACUUUUCGCAAAAACUUUAUAGUAAACUGAAAGCCCGCCUCGUUCGCCUAAUUUCCUUAACUUGAAAUUCUCACUCUGAUCUUAACUCGCGGAGAUAGUCCUUUGUGAAAACAUAAACAUAAUAAUAUAUACUAAUUAGACUUUAAGAAAACUUAAACAUUUAAUAGGAAUGCAUGCCUCCUAAUUAAAUUCCUUUUAUUCUUUCAUUCAUCUUUAGGGAAAAUUCUGGAACUUGCAUAUUUAGUAAAUCGAGAAAUUUAAUUAAUAGUAGCACUUCUUUAUUAGACUUAAUUAUUUCUGUGACUUGAGAACGUCGUCAACGUCUUCCGUCCUAUUUCCUUAGCGGCCGCCCAAGGCGUCGCCUUUCCCCUUCCGUCUACGGGUCUAUCUUCCUCUUUUCUCCGGCGAAAUCGCCACUCCCGAUUGGGUCGCCGAAGCCUCGCCGGCUCCUUCCUCCUCUGCGACCUCUCUCUUGGGCGAGCUCCCUCAAAUUUUAAAUCUGAAAUUCCUAGCUCGGAGAAAACCGAGAGGCAUCGCCUCCUAUCUCCGGAGGGCUCUCGACGCUGAUCUCUCUCCCUUUCUCCGCGAGCUCGGCGUUUUCGCUGGGAGUCACACCAUUGCCGGCGACUUGCGUCAGCCCCCUCCGUCAAGCAGCUUCUUCCCGUAAAGCUAAGCCCCCUUUCUCCAUUCCCUUUUACUCAGUUUCUUUGAGUUACGGUAGUAGCUAUGUAAAAUUAUUUCAUGACUUUUGGGAAUUAUUUGAAGUUAAGGUGCCGAUUUGUGAUUGUUGGGGAUGGGCUUGAUGUCUCGUAAUAUUCAUUGAGAUUGAUUGGAUAACUUCUAAAAAGAAACCUUGGGCAGUAGCUAUGGUAUUGAGAUCCUAAGUUCUUGAAAUCCUAUCAUGAUGCAUCGAGGGUAUUGAUUGUGGAGUUACCUUGCUUGGUAAUAUUCCCCUGGCUAUGGCUAUUGGUUGCUGCCACUACUUGCUUGCUCCCACUCCUUUCUCCUCUUCCUACUUUAACUCCCUCUCGGUUAUAUGGUGGUGAAAAGGAUUUGUGUAUAACUAGAGAAACAAGCACCUAUAUACACACACUAAAUUCUGGAGUUUGUUGUGAUUUGGUCAAAGGGGUGUGUGCAGAGAGAAAUCUGCUCUUUUGGCUUCUUGCUAAGUCUGUUGGGAGCAGAUUUUGUGCAGGUGGGGACCAGUUAUUUUGAGCAAGGAGUUGGCUCCCCUUUUCAAGUCUUCCUUGGGGAUAUCAAGCUCAUUUUGGGUAAGUACUGCACAACAUCAAGGGGCUGCCCCUAACUGAUUUUUGUUUUGAUGUGUAGGACACACUGAAGCUUUCGGUGCAAGAGGUUGAAGCUGAAAAUCUUUUGGCAGGCAACAAGUUUUGUCAUAUUUAUUUUAUCCUUGUUGCAAGGUGGAACUUGACAUCUUUUGAUUGUCUUAAAAUCGAGAAGGGAAGAGAAGAUGACUCAUGCUCAACCUUUUCUUGAUUCCAUUACCAUUUCUAGCUAGGGUCAAACUUGUAGACUUUGUCAUUUAGAAUAGCUAAGACAUAGCUAUUCAUUUCUUGUGUAUAAUUAGGUGUAGAGCAUUCUAUUUGAUUAAUUGACAUUUCUUCUUUUCAACAAUUGUAGUUCAUAACAAUUUAAAUUCUUUGCACUUUAAUUCCAAGUGUCUCUUCGUCAAA